CCUACGGGUGGCAGCAGUGAGGAAUAUUGGUCAAUGGGCGCGAGCCUGAACCAGCCAAGUCGCGUGAGGGAAGACGGUCCUAUGGAUUGUAAACCUCUUUUGUCGGGGAGCAAAAGACGCCACGCGUGGCGUUCCGAGAGUACCCGAACAAACAGCAUCGGCUAACUCCGUGCCAGCAGCCGCGGUAAUACGGAGGAUGCGAGGGUUAUCCGGAUUUAUUGGGUUUAAAGGGUGGGCAGUGGGAAGAUCAAGUCAGCGGGAAAAUUGAGAGGCUAAACCUCGUCGAGCCGUUGAAACUGGUUUUCUUGAGUGAGCGAGAAGUAUGCGGAAUGCGUGGUGUAGCGGUGAAAUGCAUAGAUAUCACGAAGAACUCCGAUUGCGAAGGCAGCAUACCGGCGCUCAACUGACGCUCAUGCACGAAAGUGUGGGUAUCGAACAGGAUUAGAUACCCUAGUAGUC
rnacentral:rRNA from 1 species